ensembl:lncRNA
AGAGAGGCUAACUGAAGGCUAAAUUUGUCUUGAAGAUGUGGCAACCCGGCUUGGUGAGUGAGCCGCCUCCUUCCAAUCAGCACACGACCUAGAGCUUACUUAAAGCCAAAAUGGCACUUUUAUUCAAACAUAAAUUAUUUAUCUAUCAAAGCAAACAAAACUCAGCUUUGGAGGAAUUCACAGUCUUCUUCCUCCGGGUGGAAUCACGUCCCCCACGAGACUGGUCUCUCCGCACACGCAAACCAGGAGAGCCCUGAAUGAGUGUGGAAGCAUGCUUUUUAAAGCAUGCUUCCCCACGCGCUCCUCAGGUGCUCCGCAUUUCAAUGAUUGGCACCAAUGUUCUUACUGGCGCCAUCUGUUGAGAAUCGGUGGUACACCGCCUCCACAACCAGUCCCCUUGGCCUCCAGGGGCGCUGUGCCAGAGACGGGUUGCCACAAAGAGUUUAUAUUUAGUGAACAACAUUAAACAAAACAGCAGCACCUAUUUCUGUGUUGUGCCGUUUUCCUUGUCCUCCAGAAGGCUUAAAGUCUAGUCCUUGGGGUGAGGGGGUGUCUUAUAUAGUGUGGGUCUGUGAAGGCCUUUGGGACUGUAACUGAGUUAAGGCCUUUACUAAUAGUCUUUAAUUAACUUGACUUGUGGUCAUGUCUCCAUCUACACACCUGUUUUUAUCGCCAUGGAGAAACUGACUGUGGCUUUCUCUCCACCAGGUAACAGGGCGGCAACAGAAGAGUGCAUUGUGAGUUAAAGAACAAAGAGGAUGAAUUACAGUAACAGGUUGUGUUCGUGGCAAGGUUGACUUGUUCUCUAUUUACUGUGUUGCUCAACAAGUGGAGAAUAUCACAACAAUCCACACUAAGCAGGUCAAUGUUAGCAGAGGCUGCUUCCAUUUUAACUACAUAUUAGUAAUAAUAACAUUUAAAAUGUUGCAGUAAAGGAGGGUGGGGUGUAUAAUGAGGCUUAGCAAUAUAAAAGGAAGAGACUACUGCUGAUUUGUGAUUAUCGAGCAGCUCUAGAAGUCUACAAUGCACUUUGUUGAGUUGUUGCUUUGGGAUUUAGAAAACCCUUUGAAAUGUG